rnacentral:lncRNA from 1 species
CUAGAAACUGCUGAGCGCCCCUUAUAGUUGAUAUCAUCGCUCUACACAAACAUCCUGGCCCUGUGGUUUGCUCUGGGCCGGAUGACAGGUCCCCGGGAUCUAACUCUGGUCCUCAUGCUGGACAGGAGAUGAGGUGUCUCUGCAGUUCGGUGUCAGAGUCUUUAGGAGAUGAGGCUUAGCUGGAGGAAGAAGGUCGCUGGGGGUUGGUCCUUUGGAG